rnacentral:lncRNA from 1 species
GUUAGAUGCCAUCCAUCAUAAAAUGGAUGGCUAUUCAAACUAUCCAAAUAUCUUUAGAAUUUAUAUAUUUUUUUAAUUUUUUUAACGUACGUGCAUGAGCACACAUGGCUGUCCAUCUUAAAAUAGAUGAUGUCUAAUUAUGCACAAUAUCUUAUAAUACUUUUUGAAUACCGUAGAGAAUUUGUGCUCGAGUUUAUUUGGUCCAUCUA